GGCGGGCUGCGUGGUACGUGAGACAAACAAUCCCCGGGGCCUUACCGAUCCUUAAGGGAGCCGUCCCUGACCGGGCUCGUGGGCCCGGAUACAUGGCACCCACCUACUUAGUAGGUUCCCGGGAUCGAAAACGUCUCACGGCCAAGGCGGCUCGUCC
rnacentral:other from 1 species